AUCCUCCCCUUUUUGCGUUUGCUAUAGUGAUUUCAGCCUGUCUUUUCAGUGUGUGUCCCUGUUGGAUGCUGUUUUGGAUCUGUUUACUGCCCUCUCUGCAGGUAUGAGGAAGUUGUUUAGCAAUGUUUAGCUUUAACGUGGGUCGGGUGGCGUAAGUAAUGUGCAGUCCUUGAACUUCAGUUUAACAGCAGGUUAUUUGAAGGCUGCGUAUCCUGAGCGGUGAAUUGAUUCUCAGGAACUCAUCUAUCCGCGUUUGGUAAGUUGUUUGGGUUUGUUAUAGAGGGAAUUACGGCAUGUAGUUGUGCAAUUACUCGUAUCAUUUAUAUCUUGUAUCAUCGUUUGUAUUAUAGGAUCCUCCUUUUUCAUCCUGGGCGAUUAUUGCUGCAAUUCGGCUUUUCCUCCGCUGCGCGCCGAGUGAACAACCUCGGCUUACACCUAUUUAAAAUAAGACUUCUGCUGCCGUUUGGCUUUUGUGAUUGUUUUAACUGGUAUUUUCUGGCCUACUUUGGUCGAGCAAUGUGCAAGUAUCGGGGCUGGCUUAAGGACGACGUGGCCCCUCCUUUUGAGUCUUGCUUCCCUCAAACUUUUAAUAAAGUUUUUCAU